GGGUUUGUAGCUCAGUGGUAGAGCGCUCACCUAGCAUGUGUGAGGCACUUGGUUCGAUUCUCAGCACCA
rnacentral:tRNA from 1 species